UCAGCGGAAAGGGACUUACGACCUUCCUCUUCACCAGAACUGCUCCAGCGGGGGGUGCAGAGGGGUUACCACCAGCAUAGAAUAGCUACAAUACACACAAUCAGGCAGUGAAUCUGAACCUCACAGGAAGUCAGAUAGAGAAGUUGUGGAGAGAGAGAGAGGAGAGGAAGGUGUCUUUCUCUGCCUCAGUGCAGUCAUCUGGAGGUGGACAUACGGGACCUUUUUCAGCUGAAACUAGUGAUCUUCAGACACGUCUUCACUAACAUUGGAAACGGUUACAACCCAAGCACAGGAGUCUUCAGAGCUCCAGUCAGAGGGGUCUACCACUUUGUUUUAUUUUUACACGGCUAUGGUCACCAAUCUGGACCUGUAGCAGCCAGGCUUCGUAAGAAUGGAGAGAAUGUUGUUUGUCCUUACAGUAGGCAGACAAAUGGAAGUAUGACUCCCUCUAAUGGAGCCUCUCUGCUACUGGAGGUGGGAGAUGUGGUCUAUGUGAAGUUGUGGGCUAAUGCAUGGUUCUUUGAUAAUAUAAACCAUCACACAACCUUCUCUGGCCAUCUGCUCUUCCCCAUGUGAGGAGUCAGUCCUGAAGUGAAUAUUAUGUAAUAUUCCAUUAUUGUCCACCCAAUAGCCUGCCUUGAAAGCACAAACCACCUAUACAGAGACAGAUCUGCUAGAUAGUUGGUGUCUUUGCCUUUCUUAAUGUCACCAAUUACUGUUAUUUCUGAGCACUAAAAGACUAUGAUUAUAAUUUGAGAUGAUUAUUUCAAAGGGCUUGUUUUAUUUUUACAUAUUUGACUUGAAUAAUAAACAAGGAUAAAACGUU